ensembl:lncRNA
GAAACACACAUAGAAACUUUUAGUUUUCUCAUGAUUUGGUUGAGUGUAAUUGUGUUGCUGUCCUCACCAUGUCUCUCUCUCUCUCUCUCUUUCACACACACACAGACAGAGAGAGAGAGACACUGAAUACAACUGACUCCACACUUCACAAACAGAAUGUAUCAUGUGAGAUAAAUGGCAUGCGAACAAACUGGUAUCUGAUUGAUAUUUUAAGAGAGAAGCUUUCAUCUCCAGACAGAGCUGGUCUGACACAGAGAAAGACAGAGAUAGACAGUGACAGUGAUAUAGAUAUAGAGACACGGAAAGACGGAGAGAGACGACAGACAAAGUGAUCCAGAGAGACGACAAAGUGAUCCAGAGAGACGACAGAGAGUGAUCCAGAGAGACGACAGACAAAGUGAUCCAGAGAGACGACAGACAAAGUGAUCCAGAGAGACGACAGACAAAGUGAUCCAGAGAGACGACAGACAAAGUGAUCCAGUGAGCCGACAGAGAGUGAUCCAGAGAGACGACAGACAAAGUGAUCCAGAGAGACGACAGACAAAGUGAUCCAGAGAGACGACAGACAAAGUGAUCCAGAGAGACGACAGAGAGUGAUCCAGAGAGACGACAAUGUGAUCCAGAGAGACGACAGAGAGUGAUCCAGAGAGACGACAGAGAGUGAUCCAGAGAGACGACAGACAAAGUGAUCCAGAGACGACAGACAAAGUGAUCCAGUGAGACGACAGACAAAGUGAUCCAGAGAGACGACAGACAAAGUGAUCCAGAGAGACGACAGAGAGUGAUCCAGAGAGACGACAAAGUGAUCCAGAGAGACGACAGAGAGUGAUCCAGAGAGACGACAGAGAGUGAUCCAGAGAGACGACAGACAAAGUGAUCCAGAGACGACAGACAAAGUGAUCCAGUGAGACGACAGACAAAGUGAUCCAGAGAGAGGGUCAUAGAACAGAGUGACAGAAUAAGACACCAGCUGUUAUAUCUAACUGAAGGUGGCUACCUCAUGAAGCUGGUUGAGAGAAUGCCAAGAGUGUGCAAAGCUGUCAUCAAGGCAAAGAGUGGCUACUUUGAAGAAUCUCAAAUAUAAUAUAUAUUUUGAUUUGUCUAGCACUUUUUGGGUUACUACAUGAUUUCAUAUGUGUUAUAUCAUUGAAAAAUGUGUAGGUUGUCCAAACGUUUAACUGGUAUUGUAGCUAUGUAUGAAUAUAUGUAUGUAUGAACACAUUAAAAUACAAAAACACAGUCAAUGGGAAGCGCAAAUAAAUCAUCACAAAUCACCCAGAAACUGUUACAUUCCUCUACAAAUAAGUCCCCAAUCGAUACUUUAAAUUGCCCAAAUGGCACCAGAACAUAAUUAACAUGAUGAAUCAAUACCAUUGAUAAUCCAGUUACUUCAAGGACAAUUCCAUCACAAUAAAAACAGUUAUGCUGUAAGUGUAUAUGCACUACUGUAAGAUUUGAUAGAAAUGUUGGUGUUUUAUUGUUUUUGUCAGUCACAUUGCAUGAUUUCUCACGUUAGUCAUUUUUAGAACCUCUGGUCGAGUUCCUGCCCAUGGAUUUGCAUCACCAAUUGGCUGCGAGCCACGUCGACGACAGUGCAGUCGGGCAUCAGAUUUUGCUAUAUGAUGUGGUUAGCUCUUAUGUUAAAUACCUAUCCACGCGUUGUAAGAUCUGGCAUGCGUCUGCAACGUAGUCGGGCAGGAACUCAACCUCUGUUUCACCCUAGUCUACAGUGUACUAUUAUUCACAGAGUGUAAUGCUCUACUAGCAAGCCCAGCUAAAAUAGUCUAAAUAUAUUGCAUGGGUGUAUCAAAUCAAAGUGUAUUUGUCACGUGCGCCAAAUACAACAGGUGUGGUAGACCUUACAGUGAAAUGCUGAAUACAGGCUCUAACCAAAAGUGCAAUUUAAGUAAAAGACAAACAACUAUUAGAUAAACAAUAGAUAAGAAAAAAGGAAACAGUAAAAGGACAGUGAAAAUAACAGUAGCGAGGCUAUAUGCAGGUGGUACCGUAGAUUAGAAUGUAUAGUUAACGUAACUAUGCAUAGAUGAACAGGGAGCCGCAGCAGCGUAAAAGAAGGGUAUUUCACAUGAUUUAAGGGUUGUAAUCCAAUUUGCGAAAGAUUGUCUUCCAAAUAUUCUCAAAUCUGCCUAAAACAAUAUGUGCAUUUACCCACCAGACUUAUUGCGGGUAAAAGGCUUUGAGUGAUGACAUAGUGCACAUAAAAAUAACUUUUGCCACUAAAUUCCCACGUACCAAAUGAAAAAGUUAAAUAGUUUUCCAUCAUUUUCAUCUCCACUGAUGGUUUGGUCUCAAAAACUGUUUUGUUAAAUAACAAAUGUGUCCACUCUGGUCAUGGCAUAUGCACUUGAACCACCCGCUCACAGGCUACCACCCGCUCACAGGCUACCACCCGCUCACAGGCUACCAACCGCUCACAGGCUACCACCCGCUCACAGGCUACCACCCGCUCACAGGCUACCACCCGCUCACAGGCUACCACCCGCUCACAGGCUACCAACCGCUCACAGGCUACCAACCGCUCACAGGCUACCACCCGCUCACAGGCUACCACCCGCUCACAGGCUACCAACCGCUCACAGGCUACCAACCGCUCACAGGCUACCACCCGCUCACAGGCUACCACCCGCUCACAGGCUACCACCCGCUCACAGGCUACCAACCGCUCACAGGCUACCAACCGCUCACAGGCUACCACCC